rnacentral:rRNA from 1 species
CUACGGGUUGCACCAGUGGGGAAUAUUGGGCAAUGGACGAAAGUCUGACCCAGCGACGCCGCGUGAGGGAAGAAGGUCUUCGGAUUGUAAACCUCUGUCGAUAGGGAAGAAGAAAGUGACGGUACCUAUCGAGGAAGCCACGGCUAACUACGUGCCAGCAGCCGCGGUAAUACGUAGGUGGCAAGCGUUAUCCGGAAUUACUGGGUGUAAAGGGUGUGUAGGCGGGACUGCAAGUCAGAUGUGAAAACUAUGAGCUUAACUCAUAGCCUGCAUUUGAAACUGUGGUUCUUGAGUGUCGGAGAGGUAAAUGGAAUACCCAGUGUAGCGGUGAAAUGCGUAGAUAUUGGGAGGAACACCAGUGGCGAAGGCGAUUUACUGGACGACAACUGACGCUGAGACACGAAAGCGUGGGGAGCAAACAGGAUUAGAUACCCCCGUAGUC